GAAGAGUUCUUCGGACUUGCACGUCACGGUCACGGUUACUAUAGCAUAAUAUAAUCACAACCAGAUUGUCACCGCCGGAUACUGUAGUUUUGCUGGGCGAUCCGAUUUUGGGUUAGUCGGCGGCGUGGCUUCCGGCGAAGUGCGCAUGCGUACCGACGCCGGCGACGCAUGUUAGGCCUGGUGCGCUGGCGUUUUUAGAGAGUUCCAGAGCCUGUGCGCUGGCGUGCUCGAGUCGGUGAUUGUCGUUCUGGUGCCUUCCACGCCGUCAAUAUAUAGGGCGCCACCGGGCGUCGUCGCCAUCGCCCGAAGCUCUGCGCAUCUUUGUUCCUUCUUGGCUAUUCCCUGUCGGGGCCCCUGCUCUUUUUCUUCCGCGCUGCUUGGCCUUUCUUCUUUGUUCGCUGGGGCUCGUGGCAGCCGGCUUCGUUUAGGGUUUCGCUCGGCUGCGGCGGUUGCUCUUGGUGCGUUUUAGCAUCCGCCGGAUUUGUUGAUUUCUGAAUCUAGGGUGUUGCUGCUCCGUCGCAGUUGCAGGUCGCUCGUCGUUUGAGGUUCUCGUUGCCAAACACUGCUAGAGGUGGCGUUUCUUCUCUGCACAGGUCGCUCGUUGUUUGGCUGGAGCAACGCUACGAGAGGUGUGUUUUGUUUUUUCAUGAUUUCUGAUUGGAUCCACGAUGUUUCAAUCUUGGAUUGAGCGGUCUAGCAGGUGCCGGCAUGUGCUGGAGGAGAAGACCGGGUUGCCUAGGCUGGACACCAAGAACAAGAAUAAGGCUAGAGAUGGGAAGAAAUGAGUGGCACUGGAUCCGACCCUGUGACAAUUUCUAAUGGUUCUGUUCAGCUAAGAUUGUCAAAUGCAAUUCCAAGAGAAAAGGGAAACGUUGCCUUACUUUUUUUUGAGGGGGGGGGGAGGGGAUUUGCUUAAGGUGAAAGUUGUUCAUGUAAAUUUUUAGACUAAAUUCCACUUUUUACCCUCAAGAUUCAUUUUCCUUUUGACAAGUUAUACUCCAUUUAGUGGGGAUUCCAUUUACCUUGAAGGUGAUUACUUGCCUUU